GUGCUUGCUUUGGCAGCACGUAUACUAAAAUUGGAACGAUACAGAGAAGAUUAGCACGGCUCCUGUGCAAGGAUGACAUGCGAAUUUGUGAAGUGUUCCAUAUUUUU
rnacentral:snRNA from 1 species